CAGCACCACAUUCACACCAGAGUUUUUGAAGUGUUUUAGAGCAGUGGGUUGAUGUGGAUGGUUGUUUGUCCUUGUAUAUUAUGUGCAUGUGAUCACAGCCCUGGGCCCUGUCCUCAGGCCUACGUCUUCCUUCUGCUCUCUUUCAGGUGCUGUUUGUUUUCUGUGUCGUUUCCUCUUUUUCCUUUUUUUGAAUCUCUUUCCUUCUUCUAAUUUCUUCUUCCUAAUCUGGACCUCCCCACCUGUCAGCUCUGACACUGUUAUAGUAAAGAUGUGCUGAUGAAGAAAACAACUAAAGAUCAUUGAGAAACAGAUGUCAUGGUCCUCCAGUCCUCUCUGACUUCCUGUCAGUGCUGUUGUUGUUCCUCUCUCUCUCUCCUGCUGUCCUCUCCACCUGGGUGGUGCACCACUCCGGGUUCCUGCCUUUGGCCAAAGCAACUGCUGCUCAUCAUCCUCAUCCGAUGCUUAAGGUGGUGGCUGAGCUGUAGUCUUUGCUGGAUUGUUGUACUUACCUUAGUUACUGUAACCAUGGUUCUCACACUAUCUCUUGCUUCCUUUGUCGUGUUUCUGAUUUGGAUGUGUUUCCCUUCCCUGGAUUCCCUGGAGCUCACUUUCCCUUCACCAUUGUUUAAAGCACCUGGUGUCACUUCUGUAAAUAAAGUCAC